rnacentral:rRNA from 1 species
UACAGGGGGUGCAAGCGUUGUUCGGAAUUACUGGGCGUAAAGCGCGGGCAGGUGGCCUUUUAAGUCCUGUGUGAAAUCCCGGAGCUCAACUCCGGAUGUGCAUAGGAUACUGGAAGGCUAGGGACUGGUAGAGGCGAGCGGAAUUCCUGGUGUAGCGGUGGAAUGCGUAGAUAUCAGGAAGAACACCGGUGGCGAAGGCGGCUCGCUGGGCCAGAUCCGACACUCAGCCGCGAAAAGCGUGGGGGAGCAAACAGG